GAUGAACGCUAGCGGUGCGCCUAACACAUGCAAGUCGAGCGCCCCCACUUUGCCUUCGAAAGAUCGAAGGCAGUGUGGGGAGCGGCGAACGGGUGAGUAACACGUUGGAACCUACCCCAGACUCAGGGAUAGCCCGCCGAAAGGUGGAUUAAUACCGGAUAGUCUCGUAAGAGUAAAGCUUUUGCGGUUUGGAGGGCCUGCGGCCUAUCAGCUAGUUGGUAAGGUAAUGGCUUACCAAGGCUAUGACGGGUAUCUGGUGUGAGAGCAUGACCAGACACAAUGGAACUGAGACACGGUCCAUACUCCGUACGGGAGGCAG
rnacentral:rRNA from 1 species